rnacentral:snoRNA from 1 species
AUACCCUUGUGGAGCAGUUGUACAUGAUCUGUUCUAUAGGCUCGUACCGUUGCAUCCUUGACUAAUAAUAAGGAGGCAAGCACUUAAGCUUGGUUGAUGACAUCUGACCUGUGUGCCAGAGCGUGAUUAACGGCUUGGAUCAGCUGCUGAUCUUAUGGUUGUAGAUGAUCAUUCCUGUUCAGCUAGCUGACCCACAGUGGGCGCCAACUG